UAUCCGGAAUUAUUGGGCGUAAAGGGCUCGUAGGCGGUUCGUCGCGUCCGGUGUGAAAGUCCAUCGCUUAACGGUGGAUCCGCGCCGGGUACGGGCGGGCUUGAGUGCGGUAGGGGAGACUGGAAUUCCCGGUGUAACGGUGGAAUGUGUAGAUAUCGGGAAGAACACCAAUGGCGAAGGCAGGUCUCUGGGCCGUCACUGACGCUGAGGAGCGAAAGCGUGGGGAGCGAACAGGAUUAGAUACCCUGGUAGUCCACGCCGUAAACGGUGGAUGCUGGAUGUGGGGACC
rnacentral:rRNA from 1 species